UAUCAUCUUCCUCACCCUCCUGGGCAUCCUCAAAGUCCUCAUCAUCAUCCCGGUCAUCACCAUGUCCUCCUGAAGUUCCAGCAGCUCCAGACCCACUACCAUGUGCCUAUCCUCGAGGCCAAGCCAUAACACUGCGGAACUCAUCCAUAGUCCACCUGUGCACUGGUGGCUGGUCAUAUAAUCCCAUGAUCAUCUCGGCAGUGGCCUCCUG
rnacentral:lncRNA from 1 species